GUUGCGCGUAAUCACGUGAUAUUCUCGCGAUCGAGUAACCGUUCACGACGAAUUUUCAAAUCGUAGAAAGCUUGAAAUUCGCACGGAUCCAGUCGUACUUGAAGCGCUUUGUGUUUUACCAGGUUCGAGAAGGUUUGCGCAAACGCGAAGCGUGACAAGAGGAACCGUGGCGGAGGUGUUGCGGAGCAGGGUGAAGGCGAACCGACUCGAUGGGUCUCUGUCUGCGUCCAAUGAAAGCUAUUUCCUGCUAGUGUUGCCAACGUGACCGCGCAAACACGUUUCACGAGCUGGUCGAGUGCGACAGUUUAUGCACCGCCACGCCUCGACGUGUACCACUCGCGUUCUUAGUGCUUCGUACGCGUUAAUUGUUGACGAAAGGUUACCGUUCGACGCUUGCCUCCAGACAUUCCCACUUAAAUAAAUCUCGUGGCAAAUCUAUCUGUUUUAUCGCGAAACUAGCGAGCGCGCACGUGCAAACCACGCUGCAUAGUCUCGCGGAAUUGGUUACAGUUUCGAGAUCGCGGAAAGUAUCUCUGGAAAAUCGAAAUUGCGAAAUCCGAGAAGCAAACACGGCCGAAGGCCGGUUUCGCCAGAUCGGAGGACGAUAGCGCUGCCGCUAUGUGCGAACCUUCGCGCCUUAUAAGGUACUAGUCGCCAAUUCGUUCGUCACUCGAUUCCCCGUCAUCUCGAUACUCGCGAUAAGUCUCCUUCGUCGUUACUUAUUUAUUUAUUUGUUUGUUAGUUAUGGAAUACCGGCCUAAUCAAGCUAUAGAUUAUACCGAAUACUUUCCAUUUUGAGUUCGAACAUUCUAGCUUGACGCAUUUCUUCGUGCAAAACGUGUUUUGAAAAAUAAACUAAGGUAAAAGAUUGAGAGAAAACGAACAAGAGACUCGUAAGUUAUAGGAAGAAAGAGAAGAGAGGAGGAAUGAAGAGAACGGAGAGGCGGGGCGAGAGUAAGCGGAUAUUAUAAAAGGAGAAAGGCAACGAUGUUUAAACACGAAAGACGUACUUUCGCUUACAGAUAACGCGAGAAAACGAAAUCAUUGAUAUACAAAUUGUUGUGCAAUUUUGAGAAAGAAAGAUUUAGAUGUAAGGUGUCGGUGGUGAGCGUCAAGUCAGAACCCUGUCGCUAAAUCAACGUUUCUCUGGAAAUGUAACGGAGACACGAUAUAUUUACAUCAAAUAUGUCAUGAAUUGACAUAAGUUACAGCCCAGAAAGCGAUACUUUGUUCGAACGCCACGCACGUUAGUACAUCAGUGUCAAAACAUUUAAGGGCUUGCAUUUGGAUUUGUUUCAAACGAUGCGAUUCGCUUGCCUUUUCCCUUCCUAUUUUCGUAUCUCUUAGAAUAAAUUUACCGGUACCUGUUUUCCAGAGUAUCUAUGUUUUUGAAAUACUACUAACACGCCAUUCGCUGAAAAUUUAUACCACGUACUAUGUUGAGACAAAAAUAAUUUGGAAAUUAGCCGAUAACUCCGAAAAUUACAAAGAAAAUCUCCUUCAAGACACCAAUUACACAUUUCGAUCGAACGAUCAAACGUGCGAUUGCCAAUCAUUGUAAAUACAUAAGGCGACUUAAUUCGUAUUAGUUCGAGCGCUGUUCUCGUAAUCGUUGAACGAAUCCACAUCGUGAAUAACCCAAAAUUACAUGUACAUAUGUUUGUUCGGUACCACUUACUUCGAGUCAUCGACGAGCUCGCUGUUUUCCCAUUUCUUCAAAAAGUUGUGUUUUCACCACCGAGCCGCGUAUCACGGAUCAUUUACCGAUAUCAGAUAAAUUUCUUUAAUCGCAACACGCUUGAAUCUGUGUGUGGAGAGAUUUUAGCGGAGACUGCGAUCCCUAACUUUUCGCGCACGCGCGUCAGCUUGACUUUGUUAUCUUCGUAUACGAAUUUUUCACCGGUGCCCCUGUGCUGAUUUAUUCUUCGGAAUGCUUGGUAAAUAAAAAUUGAACGCGGCAGCUGAAAAUUGCGGCCAGCAGCGUGCGUGCAAGUAGAAAUCGUACCGGUGGAAUGCACCGGUGGUUCGGACGCUAGCUAAAGUCUCACUGGCGAGACUGGCACCGUUGCGUUGCGUUGGUUCGUUUCACUCAUCGUAGGCUUCCACUCGGUCGCUUUCGCGCGUUUAUUCCGAGUGUGGCGUGUGUUGGGCCGGGUCAGGCCGAGUCGACCAGGCCAGGCCAGGCUAGGCCAGGGCAGGGCAGGGCAGGGUAGGGCCAGGCCAGGCCAGGCCAGGGCAGGGCAGGGCCAGGCCGGCAAUCGCCGCCGUGUACCCAAACUAUAAUAGAUCGCAGCACUGAAUACACUUUGUUUAUGUAAGCUGUUAUGACGGCGUCUAGUUCAAGAUCAAAAUAAAUGGAACUCAGAGUUUCGACUGCCAGUUCCUUUCGAAAUACGACAACCCUUUUGCAUCGAAUAUUACCUUGACGUAUUUUGCUUUUUAAGGGAAAAAAUGAAAAUUUAGCAGUCGCUCUUCGUUCGAACUUGCAAUGUGUGCGUGUGCGUGUGUAUUCUAUAUGCAUAUGUAUAUACAUAUGUAUGUAUACGUAUUUUGUGUUUAUGGCAGCCUUAGUAUUUUGUUUCUUAAAAUUCAGUAUAGAGACGAUAUCGAAUGCAAAGCGAUUUCGAUUAUGGAAGACGAACGAUUAUACAGGAAAGAGAGCAGACGUCGGGAUAGCGAAAAAGGGAAGCGAUUGCGUUUUUCUUUGUGAUCAAAGAGAACCUCUGUCGGUCACCGAAUCUGUUACCGAGUCGCUCGCUUUUCGUUCUCUGCACCGUUUGCCAAGAAUCGCUUCAACUCCAAUGUAAACGUGCCUUUUAUUCAAAUUUUCAGCUAGACGAUACGACGACACAUUCUCGGAAGGAAGAUACGCGCGAACGAAUUCAAAAUGUUUAUCGGUUUGGCAAUGGAUAUCGUUCGAGAUGCGGAAUACGAUAAACUCGUUUCGAACAAAUCCUUGCACCUUUCUUCUCACGUUCGAAAAUAUUGCACAAAACGCGCUUUGCAAUACAUUUGAUUUUUUAUUAUUGCAACGUAUUCGUUAGACUUCGUACGGUUGAAAAUUUGAUUGGUUGAGUGGUUGAUACGAUGUAGGAAAUCCACAUCGGAAUACGUAUAUAGACAAGAAACAAGAGAUAGAUAGGUUAUGAGUGUGUGCGAUGUUGCAACUAUUCGGGAAAGCGGCUUUAUGGUUUGUUGGAAAAGAAGAAGACGAAGGGGAAACACCGUGAAAAAAAAAACGAAACGAUGAACACCGAGUAUGAGAAAGAAAGCAAUAGACAAAGAGGACGAUGCUAAUCCUCUUUGUAUGGAAAAACCGAGUGGUUCGCCAAGCAGACUACGAAGCAGAACAGACUUUCGAAUAAGCUAUUCAACCAGUGCAAUAUACCGUACAAAUAUAGCGUAUCCCGUCUAGACGACGUGACUUUUCUAUACAAACGAAAAGUUACCUCGUUAUUUCGCGAGAUUCCCAUGGAAGGCGCGGCGAACGGUAUGGAAAAGCAAUACCGAGAUGUUGAAGUAAGCAAUUGGUCUUCUUUAUCCGAUUGUUCUCGCUCGUUAAGCAGCGAUCGGCAUAUUCCUGACGCAAGUCGGAACAGCUAAAAGCUUUUUCUUCACGCGGUGCCGCUCUACCGAUUGUUCGCGUAUAAGUUAACACUCCUCUUUCUUUCUCACCGCGGUGCGACGUCGUUGUCUAAUAAAUUCUACUCGAACAAAGACUAAAACGUUUCAGACCAUACUCUGCGAGCUGUACCUAAUAACCUGGUUUAAUUAAAGCUAUAUUCAAAACCGGCUCGUCUACGAGUCGUUUCUUCGAUGUCCAAUAACGCAACUGAACGGUGAACAACCGCGAGGAACUGGUGCAAACUCGAUUCGAACGACUUUAUCUCAACGUAUGGGACGUACAAUACCAUUCCCUGUGAAAGAACAUAUUCUAUAAUGUUUGUAUGACAUAGAGUGACAGUUUGUCCCGAUCGAAUCAUAUGGAAAACAGUAUAAAACUAGUGUAGUUUUCCAAGCGAAGAAUUAAGCGGAAAACAUAAUAGAGGAUCGAUCGAUGAUUAAUUAACAAAUGUGGGACGUCGUAAUUUACAAUGUCACAAAAAUUCCAAUUGGUUCUAUACAAACAAUACUACCUAUGAUUAACGAGAAAACUCGAAAAAUGGGCUUUAAACUCGGUAUCUCGGUGAAAAGCUUUGUGUUACGGAUACAUCGUAGCUACAGAGCGAUACGAAGGCAGACAAUAGAGGGUAAAGUUAUGUCAGAGAGAAAAAAGAUAAUGUGUACUGGAAACUCUACUAUGACUACGAUACGUUCCAUCAAUGACGCAGAUUCGUGAAAUGAAAAGAAUAUUUCUUUUGCUCGGAUGUUAUACAUAGGUGUUAUACGUACGCUCGAUGAGAAAGUGAUAGAAAGAAUUUCAUAGCAGUCGUCGACGCGAUUGAGAAAUUUUUAUUUUUUACUCGUUCGUAAUCCUCGAAUAGUCGCAAAACGUACUAUAUCGGGAUCGUAUAACGAAUCGCGAAACUACCAACGAGAGGUUGAAUAUUUCAGUUCGAUUGAAUAUUCCAUAGUCUGUGAUAAAACGUUUUACUAGCGAAAUGUCACUCCCUGCGUUAUCGAUACAGCGAUGAGUGCAAAAUUGGACAAUGAAAAUUUGAAGAAGGCUAUUUGCGGGAAGGAUCAUGAAUUCUUGGUAUGAUAGAUAUGUACUUAAAGAUAUCCCUAAUACUACAUAUCGUAUUUUA